GCUUUGCAGGCUGUUCUUGUGUUUGCAGUCCCUGUGUAUAGCCUUCUCAAAAUACAAACGGCAUAUUUUGAGGUCUGGAGGCUAGAAGUCUGAAAUCAAGAAGUCUGCAUGCCCGUACUCCCUCCACAGGCUCUAGGGGAGGAUCCUUCCUUGCUUCUUCCAGCGUCUGGUGGCUCCAGGUUGAAGACCUGAAAACUGUGACCCCUGUUGCCUAGCAACUGAGAAGCUCAGCCUCAACUCCGGGUGGGGGAGAUGAUGGAGAAAGCUUCCAAGAUCAUCCCCAUAUAGCUGUUCGAGACCUCAAUUUAUUGAACCUAAUGGAGAUGAGUGACAGAAUGGUGAGACUGAUGAUGAUUAUGAUGUGCAGCUUCACUGAGGUCAUGGGCUUGGUUAAUUCCCUUCCAAAGGGAUGGAAGGAGAGAAAGAGAGCAAGAAGGGUGAGUACAGUCAAUUCAGCCCCUCAUUUUCAAGCUAACUGGGAACUGUUUAUAAUGAAUGUCCCUGCCUCCAUCAAGGGCAUUUCUUCCAUUUAACGAGCACGCAGGAAGCAGACAUUGCUCAAGUACAAGGGUUCAGUUUGCAGUGAGCCACAAAUCACAUUUCAUUUAUCAGGCCCUACAGAUGACAGGAUAUCAUCGAAUCCCUGGAGAGCCAUAUUCAUUAAAAAGAAAUCUUAAGUAA
rnacentral:lncRNA from 1 species